rnacentral:tRNA from 1 species
GAGGGUGUAGCUCAAGUGGGAGAGCACAUGCUUAGCAUGCAGGAGGUUCUUGGUUAAAUCCCCAGCACCUCCU